rnacentral:rRNA from 1 species
UACGUAGGGUGCAAGCGUUGUCCGGAAUUAUUGGGCGUAAAGAGCUCGUAGGCGGUUUGUUGCGUCGGCUGUGAAAUCCCGAGGCUCAACCUCGGGUCUGCAGUCGAUACGAGCAAACUAGAGUGUUGCAGGGGAGACUGGAAUUCCUGGUGUAGCGGUGAAAUGCGCAGAUAUCAGGAGGAACACCGGUGGCGAAGGCGGGUCUCUGGGCAACAACUGACGCUGGAGGA